GAUGAACGCUGGCGGCGUGCCUAAUACAUGCAAGUCGAGCGAACAGACGAGGAGCUUGCUCCUCUGACGUUAGCGGCGGACGGGUGAGUAACACGUGGAUAACCUACCUAUAAGACUGGGAUAACUUCGGGAAACCGGAGCUAAUACCGGAUAAUAUAUUGAACCGCAUGGUUCAAUAGUGAAAGACGGUUUUGCUGUCACUUAUAGAUGGAUCCGCGCCGCAUUAGCUAGUUGGUAAGGUAACGGCUUACCAAGGCAACGAUGCGUAGCCGGCCUGAGAGGGUGAUCGGCCACACUGGAACUGAGACACGGUCCAGACUCCUACGGGAGGCAGCAGUAGGGAAUCUUCCGCAAUGGGCGAAAGCCUGACGGAGCAACGCCGCGUGAGUGAUGAAGGUCUUCGGAUCGUAAAACUCUGUUAUUAGGGAAGAACAAAUGUGUAAGUAACUAUGCACGUCUUGACGGUACCUAAUCAGAAAGCCACGGUUAACUACGUG
rnacentral:rRNA from 1 species